rnacentral:rRNA from 1 species
AUGAUUUUAGCAAAAGAGAUAUUUAUGUUUAUCGUUACCUAUGUUCUUAUUUUUUUUCUCAUGCCUGACACUAAACAUAUUGUCUUACAGUUUAACACAAUUUAG